GUGGGUGCUAGAGAAGAAAGGAAUCAAUCUCAAAUGUAUAAAUGUCAUUAAGGAUAUGUAUAAAGGGGCGGCUACAAGUGUAAGAACAUUGGGAGGAGAUACGAAGGAGUUCCCUAUAAUAGUGGGUUUACAUUAGGGAUCUGCUUUAAGUUCGUACUUGUUUGUCUUAGUUAUGGAUGAACUAACUAGUUAUAUUCAAGAUCAUAGUUAUUAAAGGCACAUGGCACACUAAGGCGCCAAGGAGUCCUAG
rnacentral:misc_RNA from 1 species